AUUUAUUUAGCUUAAAGAUAAAAGCAUUAUAUUGAAAAUAUAAAAAUAAUUUCAAAUUAAUAAAUA
rnacentral:tRNA from 1 species